UGGGAAACUCCGGUGAAAUUCCGGGACUGUGCCGCAACUGUGAUGGGAUUGCCUAAGUCAGAAUGCCA
rnacentral:ncRNA from 18 species